rnacentral:rRNA from 1 species
AUUGAACGCUGGCGGCAGGCCUAACACAUGCAAGUCGAGCGGCAGCGACUUAACUGAACCUUCGGGGAACGUUAAGGGCGGCGAGCGGCGGACGGGUGAGUAAUGCCUGGGAAUAUGCCCUGAUGUGGGGGAUAACUAUUGGAAACGAUAGCUAAUACCGCAUAAUCUCUUCGGAGCAAAGAGGGGGACCUUCGGGCCUCUCGCGUCAGGAUUAGCCCAGGUGGGAUUAGCUUGUUGGUGAGGUAAUGGCUCACCAAGGCAACGAUCCCUAGCUGGUCUGAGAGGAUGAUCAGCCACACUGGAACUGAGACACGGUCCAGACUCCUACGGGAGGCAGCAGUGGGGAAUAUUGCACAAUGGGGGAAACCCUGAUGCAGCCAUGCCGCGUGUGUGAAGAAGGCCUUCGGGUUGUAAAGCACUUUCAGUAGGGAGGAAGGUAGUGUAGUUAACACCUGCAUUAUUUGACGUUACCUACAGAAGAAGCACCGGCUAACUCCGUGCCAGCAGCCGCGGUAAUACGGAGGGUGCGAGCGUUAAUCGGAAUUACUGGGCGUAAAGCGCAUGCAGGCGGCCUGUUAAGUCAGAUGUGAAAGCCCGGGGCUUAACCUCGGAAUUGCAUUUGAAACUGGCAGGCUAGAGUCUUGUAGAGGGGGGUAGAAUUUCAGGUGUAGCGGUGAAAUGCGUAGAGAUCUGAAGGAAUACCAGUGGCGAAGCGGCUCCUCUGGACAAAGACUGACGCUCAGAUGCGAAGCGUGGGGAGCAAACAGG